rnacentral:lncRNA from 1 species
UUAGUGUAUACUACCUACCUGGAUGGAUGGUUCUAGACAGGUGUUCAGUGUGUUAGUUGUAUACUACCUACCUGGAUGGAUGGAUGGAUGGUUCUAGACAGGUGUUCAGUGUGUUAGUGUAUACUACCUACCUGGAUGGAUGGUUCUAGACAGGUGUUUAGUAUAUACUACCUACCUGGAUGGAUGGUUCUAGAUAUUUGUUGAAUAGACAGCAUGGGUUCUCUUCCCCUAACCCCUGGUCUCAGGAACGAUUGGGUUAGUGUAUUGUUACAGCUGUGGGCGGACGACUAGCUAGCCGUUGACAGAAACAAAUUCACAGUAUAAUAGUCCACGGAUAAAGUAUCUACCACAGUACAGAUGAGCUAUUAUAAUAUUUAACCAUUUCUCAUUCUCUCACGUUAUGUGAUUAACCCCAAUAUACUGAACAAACAUAUAAACGCAACACUGAGUUAUAGUUCAUAAAAAAGGAAAUCCAGUCAAUUGAAAUAAAUGAAUUAGGCCAUAAUCUAUGGAUGUCACAUGACUGGGCAGGUUGCAGCCAUGGGUGGGCCUUGGUGGGCAAAGGCCCAACUGCUUGGCUGCCAGGCCCAGCCAAUCAGAAUGAGUAUACUCCUCAGCCCUCCCCCAGACGAUCCAUCAGAUGAAGAAGCCGGAAGUGGAGGUCCUGGGUUGGCGUGGUAACUUGUGGUCUCUGCGGUUGUGAGGCCGGUUGGAUGUACUGCCAAAUUCUCUAAAACGACGUUGGAGGAGGCUUAUGGUAGAGAUAUUAACAUUUAAUUAUCUGUAAACAGCUCUGGUGGACAUUCCUGUAGUCAGCAUGGCAAUUGCGCACUCCCUCAAAACAUCAGACAUCUGUGGCAUUGUGUUGCGUGACAAAACUUCACAUUUAAGUGGUCUUUUAUUAUCCCCAGCACAAGGUGCACCUGUGUAAUGAUCAUGAUGUUUGUUUUUCUUCUUGAUGUGCCACACCUGUCAGGUGGAUGGAUUAUUUUGGCAAAGGAGUAAUGCUCACUAACAGGGAUGUAAACGAAUUUGUGCACAACAUUUUAGAGAAAUCAGCUUUUUAUGCGUAUGGAACAUUUCUGGGAUCUUUUAUUUCAGCUCAUGAAACAUGGGACCAACACUUUACAUUUUGUGUUUUAUAUUUUUGUUCGGUGUAUUUAGGGGAGUUGAAUUAGGGGGACCAUUCAAACAGCUGCUGAGAUCACCGAGGUGGUCGAUCGUUCGGGACACUGCCCUAGUCUAACAGGCAAUGCACUAUAGAGCCAUCAGGUCUUAACAGGCUAGUUUCCAUAGGCAUGACCAAUCUAGGCAUUUUAAUUCUAUGGUAGUCUCUGCCACUCCCCAGCCAAUAAAAUUAAACCAAAUGACAUGCCUAUGGUAGUCUCUGCCACUCCCCAGCCAAUCAAAUUAAACCAAAUGACAUG